AUAAUCUGGGGAUAAUUUCAUCAAUACCCUUCUAAGAGAUAGGAAUUUCAUAAAUGCCCCUAUAAAUUACAAAAUAUCAGCAAUACCCCUCUAUAAAACAAAAAUAUUCACAAAUACCCUUAAGAUUAACAUUCCGUUAAAAAGUCAUCUAAUAUUCUAUAAAUACCCAUUUUACCCUUAUUAAUUAAUUACUAAUUUAACUAAGUGUAAUAAUUUAAGAUUAAUUACAUGAUCAAGAUCAAUUUUUAACCUUUUAAUCACAUAAUAAUUCAACAUUCUUUU
rnacentral:lncRNA from 1 species